rnacentral:rRNA from 1 species
ACGGAGGAUCCAAGCGUUAUCCGGAUUUAUUGGGUUUAAAGGGUGCGCAGGCGGAAUAGUAAGUCAGUGGUGAAAUCCUGCAGCUUAACUGCAGAACUGCCAUUGAUACUGUUAUUCUUGAGUAUAUUUGAAGUGGGCGGAAUGUGUCAUGUAGCGGUGAAAUGCUUAGAUAUGACACAGAACACCAAUUGCGAAGGCAGCUCACUAAACUAUAACUGACGCUCAUGCACGAAAGCGUGGGGAUCAAACAG